rnacentral:lncRNA from 1 species
GACAUAGUUACGAAAAGAGAAUUUUUGAAUUAAAAAAAUUCGACUAAAAUAAAAAAAGUUCUUUGAAACUACAAAUUUCGGGGUGCACAACCUUUUUUAAUACUUGCUCUGCAUGUUGACUAGUGAUAGGUUGCAUGUUAUAGUAAUUUUUAUAUAAAUAUUACGUCCAGAAACGAAAUUAUCUGCAGAAAGUAGUAUUUCAAUUUUUGCUUUAUUUAGGUCGAUAGUUCACUUGUUAUUAUUGAGCUAGUUUUAGUUUAAAAUUUACUAUAAAAGCUCUCUUUUUAUGUUGAAGUUUUAUUUGGAGAAAAAUUAUUGAAUUGUGUAGGAUAUUGUAAAUGGCGUAAACCUAUUUGGUGUAGUAAAUAUAUUUCAUAUGGUUUUGUAACGAAGUAAACAAGAAACUUACUCAUUAGUAAGAGUUAAUAAAACUGAAAUAAUUCAUUUGCUAGUUUAAAACAGUGCUUAACAUUCAAGAAACCAGUUUAUUUAUUUUCUUGAUAAGUUUGUGUGUAUUGUGUAAUACUUAGCUUUGUUGAUCUGAAAUGUUCUAAUGUUUUUAAACGAUACUUCUCAGAAUUCCAAUUGCUAUUUUUAAUUGGAAUAUUAUCUUUUUUUCAUUGUUUUGUAACUUUUAUAUUAAGAUACAAAGUCUGUGGUGCUCAUUCUAGACCUUAAUAAGGGCAGGGCGUUGGAAACUGGAAAGAGCCCCCCAAAAAAGGGCACCCAUCAUAAAAAAGAGCAUUAUUUACAAAUAUUUGCUUGACUUUUAAGACACCCAAAUUAUAAAAAGUUUUUAAUUUUAUCACUAAAAAUUUUUUUUUCUCGAGAUAAUUAGUUUAAGUUUUAAAAAAAUUAUUCCUUAGUUAAAUUGGUACUUUCUAUAAAUUGGUUUUAAAGUGAACUUAAUUAUCAAAGUUUGAAGCUCAUGAAAAAAUAUCUAUUUGGUUCGAGAGUUGGUGUGAAAUUUACAUUUUUUUAAAAUCCUCAGAUUGUUUUUCUUUUCAUGCUGAUAACUAUGCUUGAAAAUAGAGGUUGAGAUGGGUUAGGCUUUUGUGGUUGGAAUGUAAUAGUAUUUAGUUCGGAGAAAAGAAGAUUGUAAUCAAAACCUGACAAAUUAUUAACAGAGAAUGCAAGAUUAAAAGCAUAACUUGUUGAGUUAACAGAGAAUUUAUAAGAAGAAUGGAAUUUUAAAAAGAACUUGUCAAAUUUCAUCAAACAAUGAAACUACUUGUAUUUUUUUAUCUUGCCUUCAUCAACUGUUAUUCAUCAGAUUUUCUUUUAGCAUUUAUCAAGAAUUCCGAAAAUAUAAAUUAUGAAGGGUCAUUAGAUAAUACUGUUAUCAACAACCUUUUAAUUGUUCAAACUUUCAUUAAUUUAAUUUUUUUCUCUCAAUAUAUUCACUAUUGUAAUAUUUUUUUAUAAUCUCAUAAUAAUGGUAAUACAAUCUAAUAAUAAUGCUAAUAUAAUCUGAUAAUGAUUUAUGUUUAUAAAAUUGCUUAGAAAAACUAAUUUUUUUCUAAAUUAUCAUUUAGUUUUAAAGAUAACUUUAUUUGCAGCUUUGUGAUGAGGUUUUUAGAACAAAAUGGGUGGUCUGGAUUAUUGAACUUCUUACUCAGUAUGGAUUACAAUACAGCAGAAAGUCUUAUUCACACCUCACUAAUAAAGUGAGUGAAAGCACUCAUGAAUAAUUCUAUUAGCUACUGAAGAAGAAGUAAAGCUAGCUAACAGUAAAGCUGAAACCUUAGAACAAGAAUAUAUUGAAUUAUCUGAUCAAUUAUCCAAAAAAGAACAAGAACUGGAGCAAUCUCCACAGGAAAAAGAAGAUCUGCAGUCAUCUUUAAACAAAAUGAACGUGAAGCUCGAAGAAGAGACUGUGGGACACUUGGAGUCCGAAUAAGAAAUUUCAGAAUUAGAAUAUCAAAGUAGUAUGUUUAUCUUUAAAGUUUAGAUAUUCUUUAAUAAACCAUGUAUCUGAUUUUUUAAAUCUUCAUUUAAUUUGCAGAAUUUAUUAGUAAAAUCAUAUUAAAUAUAUCAAUUUUUCUGUAUAAGAAGAGAAACAGUUUUACAAUACAAAUUAAAAUGCAAACUUUUUAUGUAUAGGCAUUUACAAAACAGUUUUCUUGUUUAUCCUUGUAGAUUUAAGAAAAUUCACAUUUUUUUCAUAAAUCCCUGAUUUAUUUUUUGAAAAUUCAGGAAUUUAAAAUUUUUCUCUCUCUAAAUCACUAUAAAUCAUUUGUUUAGUAAAAAGGUUUAGAAUAUGUUUUUGAAUUAAUUUAUGUAUAUUUAAUGUGCAUCAUCUUAAGGCAGUCAGCUUGUAGAAGUAAGCUUAACUUUGGCUUUUCUAAUGUGAACUUAUAACUGCUUUAAUUUAUUUUGAAAUGUGUUACUUAUGUACAAGACCUUUCACAAACUUUUUUUAAAUUUUUUUAAUUUAAUAUUAUUUUGCUUUUAAUCUGCAAGCUAAUUUAUUUAAUUCAUCUCUCUCUAAAUUGGUACAAAAGUUUUCUGUAUGCAUGCAUUGUAUGUACUUAGCAAAAUAUACAUUAAAUGAUUUUAUUUUUAUCAUUAUGUUAAUAGCUAUAAAAAAGAAUGUGGUUUACUUUAUGUACAUAAAUUUUCACAUGAUGGCCUGCUUAAAAAGAAAAAUUCCAAAUCCCCAAGAAUAUUGAUAGAAAAUUAAGUUUAACAAACUGAGCAAUAACAUUAAACAAUCCUUGUUACUUUUAUGACGAAUAUAAUUUUAAGUAUUAGUUAUAAAGUAUAGUUAGUUAUAAAAUUAGUUAUAUAAAGCAAGUUAGUUAUAAAAUAUGUGUGUAAAAAUUUGUUCGAGUUAUCAGUCUAGUCAACGUAAAAGAUAUAGCUCCAAUAAAUUAUUUUGAAACUUUGUAGAUACAUUCAUUUAUCUUUAGACUUAAAAAUUGUUUCUUGGUAGAAAUAAAGAAACAUUCAUGUAAAAAGAAGGCAUAAGAGAUGAUUUCAAUGAAAGCUAAGUUUCCUUCUUAGCUUCAUGGAGUUUUAUGAUUUCUUAGCUGCAAACUUUACUGCAUCAAAAAAUCAGUCCCUCCCCCUUGUUAUUCAGAGUGGCUA